rnacentral:rRNA from 1 species
AGUGAACGCUGGCGGUAGGCCUAACACAUGCAAGUCGAACGGCAGCACAGUAAGAGCUUGCUCUUACGGGUGGCGAGUGGCGGACGGGUGAGGAAUGCAACGGGCUCUACUUUUUCGUGGGGCUUAACGUAGGGAGACUUACGCUAAUACCGCAUACCCCCUACGGGUGAAAGCGGGGGAACUUCGGACCUUGCGCGGUUGAAUGCGCCGAUGUCGGGUUAGCUAGUUGGCGGGGUGAAUGCCCACCAAGUCGCCGAUCCGUAGCUGGUCUGGGAGGAGGAUCAGCCACAUUAGAACGUAGACAGGGACAAGACUCCUAAGGUAGGCAGCAGAGGGGAAUAUGGGACAAUGGGCGCAAGUCUUGUCCAGUCAUACGGCGUGUGUGAAGAAGGCGUUGGGGUUGUAAAGACCGUUUUUUGGGAAAGAAAAGCAGCAGGUUAAUACCCCGCUGUUCUGACGGUACUCAAAGAAUAAGCACCGGCUAACUUCGUG